rnacentral:lncRNA from 1 species
GUGGAGACUCUUGGUGAAUCCAAUAACCUUAAAACUAGAACUAACAGCAUUGGUCCCCCCAUUUAUAUAGAGUACUUGGUAGGACUUUAAGUACAAGGCAAAACACUAGAGUUAGUCAGGAAUUGUCAGUGAGCUUAAGUGUGGAAAAUAUAUUUAUUUCCUUCCAAAUUAAAUGACAUAUUUCAUUCAUAAGGUGAAUAAAUGCUACAAAAAGUAAACAGCAUGUAUAACAUAUAGACUUUACAGCAUCCCAAAAUUCAUCAAUCCUGUUCUCUGGUAUGAACGUGGCAUCAGUACUGCGUCCUGCCACUGUCAAAGGAACCACCUUAUAACCCAAAUAUCCAUUUUGAUGUUACUCCAUUUUUCAGCAUGAUCUUGCAACUUUGGCCACACAUACAGCCACAACCCACAGAGACCAUCUUUGAAAUCAUAAUAGCUGUACAAUUGUGAUCUUUCCUACUUGGCGUAACGGCACUUUGUGGAUCAAGAUAUUUUCUACCCCUUUCCCUUACCAUUCUUAGCAGCCCUCAGCAGUGAAAGCCCAUAUCCCAAUUCAAUGCUGUCUAUUAGCUGAUCACAAGACUAGUCAACUCAUGCCGAGCAGAAAGAGACACAGAGCUUACCGGACACGCAUGUGACAGUCACUGUGCUCACCAGGACCGGUUUGGUCUUGUGAGCAGAACAGAUGCUCAAAGUAACAAAGCUCCAAACCACCAGGCUGAGCAGAGUGCUGUCCCCCAGGGUUUAGCACACAGUACCGAGUCAGUAUGGGACUGAGGUUAAGUCCUGCAGCAGCAAUAGCUGCCAAACCCCACCGUGAGGGAUUCGGGGUGUCACAAGCAGAGCGAGCAGCAAAAAGUGGGGGGCAGAGCCCGGCGGGGAGCUGUGAAAGGCCUCAACUUGGAUUCAAGUCCCUGACCAUCAAGAGAGGACGUUGUUGCAGGAAGGGAAGUUGUAGACAAGACAUGGAGAGUGGCAAUCAUCACAAUGGUUGUAAUGGACCAGUACAAUCGCUGGUUGCAAACUCAGCAUCCUGUUGUGGCAGAAGAGGUAGAAGACAUGCUAGUGCUUCAGAGACAGCUUUUCAGUGGCUGGAGAAGCUGAAUUCUCUUUAAAAUAAAAAUCAAGAGAUUACUUGUCUCCUAGCCUGA